rnacentral:rRNA from 1 species
UACAUAGGGUGCAAGCGUUAACCGGAAUUACUGGGCGUAAAGUGUGCGCAGGCGGUUUUGUAAGUCUGAUGUGAAAUCCCCGGGCUCAACCUGGGAAUUGCAUUGGAGACUGCAAGGCUAGAAUCUGGCAGAGGGGGGUAGAAUUCCACGUGUAGCAGUGAAAUGCGUAGAGAUGUGGAGGAACACCGAUGGCGAAGGCAGCCCCCUGGGUCAAGAUUGACGCUCAUGCACGAAAGCGUGGGGAGCAAACAGG